UGCACCGUCGACCGAUCCUGAUGUCUUCGGAUGGAUUUGAGUAAGAGCAUAGCUGUUGGGACCCGAAAGAUGGUGAACUAUGCCUGAAUAGGGUGAAGCCAGAGGAAACUCUGGUGGAGGCUCGCAGCGGUUCUGACGUGCAAAUCGAUCGUCAAAUUUGGGCAUAGGGGCGAAAGACUAAUCGAACUAUCUAGUAGCUGGUUCCUGC
rnacentral:rRNA from 1 species